CAGCCGCCGCGGUAAUACGUAGGGUGCAAGCGUUAAUCGGAAUUACUGGGCGUAAAGCGUGCGCAGGCGGUUAUAUAAGACAGUCGUGAAAUCCCCGGGCUCAACCUGGGAACUGCGAUUGUGACUGUAUGGCUAGAGUGUGUCAGAGGGGGGUAGAAUUCCACGUGUAGCAGUGAAAUGCGUAGAUAUGUGGAGGAAUACCGAUGGCGAAGGCAGCCCCCUGGGAUAACACUGACGCUCAUGCACGAAAGCGUGGGGAGCAAACAGGAUUAGAUACCCCAGUAGUCCCUGUCUCUUAUAC
rnacentral:rRNA from 1 species